GGGGGUGAUCGGUUUCGACUUCGGUAGUCGUUAUAUGGAGAAGCGUGCCGAGGGUUGUGGUUGUGACCUCGUUAAUCCUGCAAUCGCGUAAAUAUCAAGUGCCAAUUCUAAGCGCACUGAGUUCGCUCUCGCUGCCUAAGCGAUAGCAACUCUGUCGGCCUGGACCCGUCCCCGGUUCAGGACCCGGCAUCGUUAUGGGGACUUACCGGUCAGAUCAGGCCACGGGGCCUGACUGGGACAUUUUCGUGGCUGGGCUUGUCAGCGACUUGUUCGCGAGAGCGCUGGGGCCAAGUAGAACGAUAAGCGAACUGCGCACGGAGAAGUCCUGUAGCACUGCGGAAGGACGCGGGUUCGAUUCCCGCCACCUCCACCC
rnacentral:tmRNA from 1 species